GAUGAACGCUGGCGGCGUGCUUAACACAUGCAAGUCGAACGAAGUGCCUUUGAAAGAGGAUUCGUCCAAUUGAUAAGGUUACUUAGUGGCGGACGGGUGAGUAACGCGUGAGGAACCUGCCUUGGAGUGGGGAAUAACACAGUGAAAAUUGUGCUAAUACCGCAUAAUGCAGUUGGGCCGCAUGGCUCUGACUGCCAAAGAUUUAUCGCUCUGAGAUGGCCUCGCGUCUGAUUAGCUAGUUGGUGGGGUAACGGCCCACCAAGGCGACGAUCAGUAGCCGGACUGAGAGGUUGGCCGGCCACAUUGGGACUGAGACACGGCCCAGACUCCUACGGGAGGCAGCAGUGGGGAAUAUUGGGCAAUGGGCGCAAGCCUGACCCAGCAACGCCGCGUGAAGGAAGAAGGCUUUCGGGUUGUAAACUUCUUUUCUUAGGGACGAAGCAAGUGACGGUACCUAAGGAAUAAGCCACGGCUAACUACGUGCCAGCAGCCGCGGUAAUACGUAGGUGGCAAGCGUUAUCCGGAUUUACUGGGUGUAAAGGGCGUGUAGGCGGGAUUGCAAGUCAGAUGUGAAAACCACGGGCUCAACCUGUGGCCUGCAUUUGAAACUGUAGUUCUUGAGUACUGGAGAGGCAGACGGAAUUCCUAGUGUAGCGGUGAAAUGCGUAGAUAUUAGGAGGAACACCAGUGGCGAA
rnacentral:rRNA from 1 species